CAGUUACCUCUUCCAGGAGCGCGACAUGCGGCAGCCCUCCCUGAAACGCUGCUUUCUGUAGUUGCCGGCAGGCGGCGACACAAGUUUAUGCUUGCGAUGUCGCGGCAGCAGGUCGCAUCAGCGUAAG
rnacentral:lncRNA from 1 species